rnacentral:lncRNA from 1 species
GUUCUUAGUCUUUUCUUGAGCUUCCAAAUGAGAAAAUAUCCUCAAAUUUCAUCUAAAAAGACCUUGAUCUUUUAUUGAGCUACCAAUCAAGAACCCUAAUCCUCAAAUCCUCCUUCAAACCGCACUAGACUUUGCCUAUUUCUGCAAUUUUUUUCCAAAAAUCGAAGAGGCGGGACCACAAUCUUCUAAAAUUUAUUUGACAUGUUAGAUGUGGAGGAACAAGAUGAAGGUUGGAACUUCUUUUUUUUUUUAAGGAUUUUUUGUCCGUAUUCAAAAUCUUUUUUUCUGUAAUCAAAAUAUUGCUUCAUUUUUAACUUUUUACCAGGUGAAGCUGAAUCACAAGAAGUUACUUGAUGGAAUGCUGGCUUUAUGUGGGUCCCACAAAAAAAUUUAGAUUCUUUUAAAGUUCCAACUUUCUAGUUCAGAUUAUUCUAAAGUUACUCUAUUCGGCAUUACUUUCAUAAUGAAACUAGUUGGUAUUAAUGAAACUAGUUGGUAUACUUUUGAUUGUUUAUUUAUGAUUAUAGGUAAAUGAUAGAGUUAUCUAGGAAGGAGUUCUAGGAUUCAGGAUUAAAUAAAGUAGUAUUGGGAUUUUGUUGGUUGUGUUCUAUUGUUUUUAUGGUGAUAUAUAAUUCCUUUCAAUGACAUUUACACUUUUUGUCUAUGAAUAUGUAUAUGGGUUGCUUCCCAUGGCAAUUUUCAAUAUAAUAUUUGGUUUUCGCUCAAAAGGGAAAAAAAUUACUCUGGAAUCGGAUGAGACAUUCAAAUAGAUUUCCAUGUCAUAUUAAUCUAAACCUUUAAGUAAACAGAAAUUAAGACCCCCAAAUUUGAGCAAAAUAUAUUCUAGAGAAUGAGAGUCUUUCCAUAGAGCUCAUCCGUGUUGGGAGAAUCGAAAAUUCUCUUUUGCAAUAUUGGUUUUGCAGUUUGUUGUUACUUUGGAGGACUAUUGGAGUCCAUGGAGGGAGGGUAGACUAAAUAUAAAUCUUUAACUUGAGUAUGUGUUGCUUGAACUUGUCUAGCAGUAUUCAACACAAUCCUCCUCUUUCAUUUGGGCUUUUUCUCCUUCGGUUUUGGGAGGGUUUUAGAUGUUUUUUGCAAGUUUUAUUUUAUUUAUUUUUUAUUUUUAUUUUUGCACUUGAGGUCCUUUCGGUCCUUUAAGUAUAAAUUAAAUCAUAAUGGUCCAAAUGGUGCUACCAAUAAAUAGAAUGACCAUUAGCGAAACAAUCCUAAAACUUCAAUGACCAUUUCUGAAAGUUUGCAAUUUUAGUGACCGUUUUGAAAUUUUUAGGUAAGUUUAGUGACCGUUUGUGAAAUUAACCCAAAAAAUAUUACUAAAAAAUUGUCUAUAAAAAUCUUUAAAAGACCCAACUUAGCCCCCGUUUGAUCCCCAUUAAAUUAAAUUACAUUACAUUCUAUUUUUUUCUCACCUAUAUUCAAUCACACAAUCUUCUAUAAAAUAAUAUUACACGUAAAUCGAAAAAUUUUCUUUUUUUCAACUAUUUAUUUUUAUAAAAAAUAUUAUUCCCCCAUUUUCAUUUUCAAAUAACGGGGGUCAAACAGGGCUUAAUACCCUCUCAAAUUAGUUCUUCUUUCGAAUAUAGCAGCUGUUUCAAGGCACACUUUGUACCCCAGCAGAUCUUGAAUUUUAUCAUAUAGCGAUCGAGAAUAUCACCAAUUUUCUCACUCAAAAUGGUAAAAUUUCAUAAAAUCUAUAGAUAUUUCUUGUUCUUUUGAAAAUUUCCUACUUUAUUGAAUAUUCCAAUUGCUUCUUGUUGUUCAUCUAGUGUUUGAUUUGAUAUGAUGUAGCUGUUCUUCUCGUACUUCAAGGAUUUGGUGGGUCGAGAAGUGACCGUGGGGUUGAAGAACGAUUUAGCAUUAAGAGGUACAUUACACUCUGUGGAUCAGUACCUCAACAUUAAGCUCUAAAACACUCGGGUUUUUGAUCAAGAUAAGUACCCCCACAUGGUAUUCCCUCUUUCUUCCUCACUUUAGGGUUUUGGAUUUUUUAUAAAGGAAAUUUAAUAAUAAGUUCCAACUUCCAAAGCAUCGAUGGAAACUGAAAACUUAAAAUGUUCUUAUGAUAAGCUUUCUUUUUUUAGUCAAUUUUUAUACAUGUCUAUUUUGUUGAAUGACUGCAUUAUCUGUGCUCUAAAUGCCAUUUAGGUAAAGAUUUCUCUUGAUUAGAAGUUGAGAGUUUUAUUUAUAUAAUAUGUUUCAUUUUUAAGAUGUAUGGUCCUUGGAUUUGCUAUUGUUUGGAAUUUGUUGUGCCUACUUGAUGAAAUAUGAAGGGUUAUGUAAAUCUAAUAUGGCAAUUUGGGUUUCAAAUUUUAUAGGAAUAUACCUGUUUACGAAAUUCUAUGUAAUAGAAAGGUGUUGUGAGGAAUUUGAAUAUUUAUGUAUGAUUUCCAUUCUGUUUGAUGAUUUUUAUUUUAGUCCACCACCAAGACGGUAAAUUUAUUAAUACUAGAACAUAAAGUAUAAUACCACCCACAAUACCCUUUUUGAUUAUUGAAUUAUCUGGUGGAGUAUUGGAACCUCCAUUCUUAUUGCAAAUGUGCAACUACUACACUUACCUUUCACUUGAUAAUUCAAAAAUGAUAGAAGAAAUGACUGUUGGAAGGAGAUCAUUGAACCGCGUGUCGGGUUGAGUGAUUGUGUAAGUGUAUGACUAUAUUUAAUAUGAAAAAGAUGAGAAAAAGAGUAAAGGUAUAGAGACAAAGUGAUAGAGAAGGAGAGGGAAAGUGUAAAUAAUUGGUGAGGGAUAGUCCAAUGUUGAGUUUAACUCCUAUUUAUAGUGCAAGUUCUAGGACCAUGUGUAGAAAGUUGAAAGGAAAUGAUUAGAUGUUAGGCAUGGUAAAAGCAUAAUUGGUGUAUUAUCUUGAAAGUUGUCAAAUCAAUACCUUUAAUCAUGUGAUCAAAUCAAUUGACUUGGCUUGAAUUUUAGUGUAAAUAAUGCAUGUGGUUAAAUCAAGUACCUUUAUUUAUUAGUCAAAGCAAUUACUUUGUUUAAAAUAUGGUAAAUAAUGCAUGUGAUCAAAUAAAUCAUAUCUAAUCAUGGUUAAUUGACAUAUUUACAUAUAAUUUUAUUUAACUUCCAAUUUAACUCUUCACUUAGGUCCUCAAAGAUUGGCUAGUAAUUAAUAAGGUCAUUUAACUAAAAUUUAACUCAAUCAAUAACCAAUAAAGUCAUUAGACUUUAAUAAUAACGCACUUAAGUCCUAAUUAUUAAUCUAACGACUAGUAAUAAAAAUUUAGGAUAUUAUAGGUAGGAUGCUGAAUAAUUUUGAAAUAUGAUUUUAGGUAUUUAUUUCGAGGAAACGUGACUAUGAAUUGUACAAUACCUCUGAUUCCUGGACUUAAAUUAAUGAAACUUCAAAUGUAAGGAUUAGCGGUUGGUAAUAGAGAUGAGUUUCUAGUUCAAUUGAAGCAUAUGGAAGAAAAAUGUUUUAUCUUUUGAAUCUAAUCGUUCAUUUCAUUUUGGAUUUCUAGUGAUCAUUUGACUUCUAUACUGUUUUUCCAACCAGUGGAGUUUAUUUAUCAUUCCAAAGUUAACGCCACUACACAAUCCAUCCAACCUCACUCACAUAAAUAACAGAAUAAAAAGAAAUGCAAAAAUGUUAUACCUUCUCUAUUUAAUCCUUUGAAAAAUAAAUCUUAUUCUAACAUUAACUAUAAUCCAAUCUACAGUGGACUGACUACCUUUAAUUCAUCCUUUAUUGAUCAUCAGUGUACAUUUCUCUUACUUCCUUUACCCUUCCUUCCCAAAUUCUUGUAGAACUCGGGAGCAUGUCAUGUUUAGACCUGUACUAUGGAUAAGGCUUGAGGCACCAUUAAAUCGAAUAUGUUAUUUGUUAAUGGGAUCUGCAGCACGUGAGGGUGGGUGAUUACCUAGUAUGUUGUUUCCCAUGCAUUUUAAGGUUUAUAUAAUUAGUUUGUUCUUUGCACCUUGUAUUCGUUGUUACCUUUUGAGCUUGAGUAUGGACAUUAUUUAUUCAUGCAUUCUAUUGAUGGUGUAUUUUAGUGAAACCACUAUUCAGUAAUUCAUUGUCAAUUGGACGUGUUAUCGCAGGUAUGCCUGAUCUUUCACUUUCUUUUAUCCUUUUUGUCGUUCUAUUGUGUUGUGCUCCCAACACUUCUAAAUCUACAUUAAAGUAAAGAGAUUCUCCAUACAACUUGUGGUAUAUUGUUUUUUUACUGGGAUUUGAGCUGGUGAGAUGUAAUGCUAAAAAUUGCUUGCAUAAUACUCGAAUGAUUUUUUCUUGGAGUUUUUGGUGGUUUGGUUGUGAACGUAAUUGCUUUUCAAGCUAAUACGAACAUUCUCAUCUACAUGCGUGUAUCUGCCGAAUUAACUUUCUAUUUACCCCUUUUUGGUCCUUGCUUCACUGCAUACUUUUCGCAAUGUUUGUGGGAGUAUAUGCUUCUUUGCCAAGCUUUAAAGUUCGCCUACUAGUAAUUAGUUUUAGAAUAAAUAGCAGAAAAGGGUUUAAACAGCUUUCAAGUGUUGAAGUCGAUAGUUAAAUUGUCCAUCCCGACAGUUAGUAAAUGUCGAGCUCGACAGUUCACAUGUCUAACCCGACAUUUUUUACGACACUAU